rnacentral:rRNA from 1 species
UACGUAGGGUGCAAGCGUUUGUCCGGAAUUAUUGGGCGUAAAGAGCUCGUAGGCGGUUUGUCGCGUCUGCUGUGAAAUCCCGAGCUCAACCUCGGGCCUGCAGUGGGUACGGGCAAACUAGAGUGCGGUAGGGGAGAUUGGAAUCCUGGUGUAGCGGUGGAAUGCGCAGAUAUCAGGAGGAACACCAAUGGCGAAGGCAGAUCUCUGGGCAUUAACUGACGCUGAGGAGCGAAAGCAUGGGGGAGCGAACAGG